AAUAGAACCGUAAUUACUAUUUUAAUUUGUUACAAAACAUGUUGUUUUUUUUCAAAUAAAUUUCUGGAUUAUCUAUGUCUACAAAAGUCUGCAGUUCAUCUUUUUGUUAUUUUUAUUGUUUUUAAACCAUCACAAUAGAUUAUGAAAAAAAUAAAACCAUGAAAAUGUCCUUUAGUAAGUCAUUUCACUUUUACUCUACACACAUACCAAGGCAUAACUCAGAGUAGACAAUAAUGAAUACAGUCAGAUAGUGUUAUAUAUGGAUAUUUAGUUUAAACCAGAUUUAUUCACUGAUUUUGCAACUAACUGAAGGCAAGUCACUUGGACAAGUAGAAAUGAAAUACACAAAAUGGUUACAUUACACAAAUAACAAUAUUAUACAGACACAGGUAAACACAUAUAAAUAAAAAGGAUUUGGUAUAUCAUUUAAGAUAAUUGAGUUUACAACAUUAAUUAAUUGUACUUGCAAAAGGAUUGGAUACUUGCACAGCCCAUUUUCACUAAUGAUUAAGCAGAAGGUAUUACAUUCUUAUCGCAUUCUUAAGUAUGAAAUUAAUGUGAUGCCACUUUCCCACAAUUCAAUUUCUUAACAUUGACAACGUUGACAAAAAGUUCAACUCUUUUUCCUUCUUAAUACAAACACAUACAUCUAUUUAGAGUUCUGUGGCAUUUUUUUUUGUUUUCAAAUGCAGCAGAACAGUGAAAUAACAUAUGAAUACAUAUGUAGUUUCACACAAUUAAGCAGCUAUUUUCAUUCACACUUUUACAUAUUCUAUUACACAUUCCAUAUAAGUCAUUUAUUUGAUGAACAAAUUCAUGAAAAAUAUAUCAAUAAAUAGCAUGGGUGACAGGUGAUAAAUGCAUCUUAUCAAAAUAAAAUUGGAGAUUGAAGUAUACUGAAGCAUAUUUUAACAUUAAAUGUUGGAUGCACAGAAAAACAAUUUUAUUAUGUCUUCUGUAUACAAUAUCAUUUAAUUGCAAAGAUCUACUAACAUACUGGUUUAGAAAUAAUUUUAUAAAGGGGAUGGAUUUGGCGUAGGAUGAAAGAAUUAACAUGAGCCCUAUUUCUAAGUAGAAAUCUAUAACAAAUUUGAUGUCAGUAAAUACAAUAGUAGCUUGUAAGUUUAGCUUGUAACUUGUUGUUGAUAAGAAUGAUAGCAAUUGCAUUGUUCCAAAUUGUAUGAGAGAGUGCCUUGAUUCAUAAAAUUGUGCUGUAAAAUACAUUUGAUUACCAUUUUUUCUUCUCAACCAAUCAUAUGGCACCAUGUCAAGAGCUUGUAACUUGCUACUUAGCAAGCUGUAAGAAACAGUGCCAAACUGCGAAUACAUUCUAUCAUAAACACACUCUCAGCAUAGUAUACAUACAGUAUACCAAGAAGAAAGAUUAAAAUGGAUGUAAAUAAAAUUGAAUUGAAUCAAAUCAAAUGGAUGAAUACAUACAUGUCAACAGUAAAAUUAUCUACCCCUGGUAUUCCAUGAUAUACCACUUCAUAAUAAUCACUCAAUUGUAUCAAAGAACAGAAUUGCCUGAUGAGAUGUCUUGUGUUCUAGUUGGGUUUUUGAGGGGUGGUGUGAAAGAGGGGCUUAUUUAUUAUACAUCAUCUUUGGGUGUAUAAUAAAGAGAUCCACUCAAUUUUUAGUAUACAAUUUUAACUUUUUGUUACUUUGUUUGUAAUAGACCUCAAUCAUCAGAACGAAAAUAACAUGAAGAAAGGCAGUUUCAAAUACACGUAUAUCAAUAAAUUCUCUAUUUAGGUGUAUGGCAGGUUAUGACUUUGUGCAUCAUCUAAUAGACUUAGCAAUGAGCAUAGUACUAGUACUCUCUAAUCUAUGCUUGUUCAAACAUUCCAAGUAACACUAAUAAUAAUUGUCUUUAGCAUUUAAUUUUCAUGCAUGCAUAUCACUACCAUACAAAAGGCUGAGCAAAGAAAACAGUAUUUUACAUUUCCGCAGAUGAGCACAAUUAGAAUAUGUGAACAGCCAACCCCGAAACCAACAAUAAGUCACCAAGGAAGGCUCUCUAUUAAUAGCCAAAAUAUUAAUUUGGUCUUUGAAAAGGCAAAAGCAAAUAGAAGAAAUAGGCUUUAUUGAUAAAGCUGUUUGUAAGUUAAGAGCGACUUUAAGAACGACUGGUGCUCCUUUCUUACGCGCAAAACCAUCGCUAAUGAAUAUACCAUUCUCCAUAAGAAAGGAUCACCAGUCAUUCUUAAAGUGAAAGUUGCUCUUUCUUAUGCGCAAAACCAUCGCUAAUGAAUAUACCAUUCUCCAUAAGAAAGGAUCACCAGUCAUUCUUAAAGUGAAAGUUGCUCUUUCUUAUGCGCAAAACCAUCGCUAAUGAAUAUACCAUUCUCCAUAAGAAAGGAUCACCAGUCAUUCUUAAAGUGAAAGUUGCUCUUUCUUAUGCGCAAAACCAUCGCUAAUGAAUAUACCAUUCUCCAUAAGAAAGGAUCACCAGUCAUUCUUAAAGUUAAAUUUGCACUUAACUUAAUAUGAACAGCUUUAUGAAACACCGACCUGGUUUGAUUUUUUAAAAUCAAAAUUAUAUGCUGACUUUAAGCCAGCUGUAUAUCUAAAUGGUGAUAUUGAGACUUUCAAGUUAAUACACAAAAAUAUAAUAUAACUUAUUAUUUGUAAAAGUAUUAAAGCUUGGUUUUGAGAUGGUUUCUAGAACACUCGUCAUUUUCCUACUGUAGCAGCUUGUUCACAUAAUGUACCACAAUACUAGAGAAUCAAGUGUGCACACUGCAUUUAAAUACCGUACACUAAUACUAUCAAAUCACGAUUCUUUGCAUUCUUUGUUUAUCUAUUGCACUUUUCAUAUUUAAAGUUUAUUCUAAUACAACAUACUGACUACCACAGACAUUGUCAUUCAUAUACAGGCAAAUCUGAGCUCAGAGGAAUGUGUACAUGGUAUUCAUCUUGUCAUAUACAACAGCAACACUUUGCAAUGUUCAGCAACAUAAAAAAGAUUAUCAUUCAUGAGGAUUUAUUAAUCCAUUUCGUCUGUAUGGCAACUAUGGCUUUUCAGUUUUUGUUUUAUAAGCUUUACUAUAACAUCAUCAGAGUUUGCUAAAUAUAUUGAUACUACAUACAGUACAUGUACAAGUAGUUUAUAUUUCAUUCACAUUUCAAAAUCAUAAUAGUGUUGAAUAAUUACUGGUAAUGAUUUACCCCUGCUCCACAUGGUGUGAGAUACAACAUUGAACAUACAGAGAUGGGGAAGAUACUAUUUUUAAAUGUUAAUUUGUAUAAAAUAAGUAUAAUUAUGAAGAUUUUGUUUUGUUAAUGUUUCAUUUGACUAUGUGAUUUCUCACAUAUUUUAUAAUCUAACAGGAAAUGGGUAAAACACACUAUUAGCGAUGCUUUUUAAUGAUCUCAUGUAUAGUUUAAACACUAUAAAAUACUCUCAGACAAGUAUACCUUUUUAUCAUACAAUGAUCUGAUUUUGGAAUGCACUAAUUUAAUCACUAACACCUAAACUUGCUCUCUUCUUCAGAAAUGGAAAAUUGGAAUUUCGGUUGUUGGAAAUUAAAAGCUACAUGUAUAUGAAAUAACAAAAAAGCAAAAAAUAGAGUAUCAUAUAAUGAAAGAAUACAUGGAUUCUGGAAUGGUUUUUCAAACUUCUUCAAGGGUGUACAAUACACAGAAUGCAAUACAUAAAGUAAACAAGUACAAAGUCUUCAUAAUUUGGAUAUUCAACAUCUGAAGCCAUAUGAGGCUUAUUAAUGAGUGAUAUUCAAAAUCAGUGUCCCCAAAUCAAUAACCUACUGAUACAGUUUACAUAAAUUGCUUUGUAAUACUCAUUAAUUACAAUCUACAGUCAUAACGUAGAACUUUCAUACUUUCAAAGUUUAUUUCUUUAAUAUUUUGCAAAGUUUCCCCUAAAUAGCAAGUAGAUGGUGAUGGACAUUGUCCCUGGGAGGCUAUUGGCUUUAAAUCUAUUUCAUGUUUGUGUUGAAUUAUGCCAGCUAUUGUUUAAAGCAGUUUGCUGCAUUUCAUCAGACUGGGACAGUACAUACAUGUAGGUAUUAAAGGUGAGAAAUGACUCUUAUCAUCAAAUUUAUCACUUCUUUUGAUAACAGUUGAUGGAAAGGGCUCCUUUGGAUAUGUUAAAAAAUACAAAUCAGAGCAUACAUGUAAGCCAUAACAUUUAUGCUGAAGUCAUAUUAUAUCCUACAUUUCAUGACAUAUUCUGCUUUUAUCUAAUAAUAACAAUACAUACAUUAUGUACAUGUAUGCACAUGUUACAUCCUAACACUUCUAAAAUUUAGGUUUGUCUACAUGCAAGUACUGUUUCUGUUAUGUGUGGGAAAUACAUAUACCUACCACUUCAAUAGUUUUCAUUAUUCUGUUUUGUAUUUCUAAAGACCAGAAAGUAUAGGUCCUCCUCAUAAUGAAAUUGUGGAAAAUGUAAUGUAAAUAUUUGUGUCACACAGUUUUUCAGAAAAUAUUUUGAAACAUGAUUCUGGCAUAAAUGUUACAUGUCUGUCUUAACUCAGGAUGUUUCUGACAUAUUUUUGACAAGACAUGCAUGCAUUUUUAUAAACCUUUGUCAAUUUUUAGCACAACCAAAGGUGGGUGCUUCAUCCAUAUCACAUGAUGUACUUACUUUUGUUGAUUCACCCCAUGUCACAUCUCCAAGACUAAAUCUGAUGAAUUAAAUCUAAUAAAAUGGCUAAAUUAAAUGAAAAUUUUGCCUAAAUUGUAAAGCAUUUCAAAGAUUUGAGAAAAUUGAUUCAGUCUAUUCCUUUUUUUUUUUUUGGGGGGGGGGGGCAAAUAAGACAAACUCCCAACAGUUGAUCAUUUCAUGUAAGUUAAAAAAAAUUAUACUUUUUUUAUACUCUUCAAAGGGUGCACAAUCAAAGCCAAAGCAGGCAAUUCCAAUGGGUUGAACGGCAAAUAUCCAUGUCAUUUCCAUCAUGGUAGAGUGUAAAAUAGAAUAUGGAAUGCAAUCAUAUUCACAACAGGUGCUGGGGCUAGGAAUAGUGGGAUACAUGUACAGCCAUUUGGGGUUCUGGUACCAUUUUCUCAAAACCAACAAAUUUCUUUGAUAAUCUCUAGCAUUUUGCAUGUU